ensembl:snoRNA SNORA62 Small nucleolar RNA SNORA62/SNORA6 family
UUUCUCUUAAAGAAAUGAAGUCGGCCACUGGCCAAUGAACUCACAAGUGUAGGUAGUGUGCUACAUGAGGGACAAGUUUUUCGCUAACAUCACAAGGGUCUCUGGCCCAAUGAGUGGAGUUUGAUAGUAAUACUUGUUACAAAU